GCCCCUGGCCUCCCGCGAGCUGCGCACCGCCGGCCGCUGCCCCAGCUGCCCGAGUCCGCGCCCUCGUCCGCGCGACCCGGCGGCGGGCUCCAGGCCGGCAGCAUGAGCGGCGGCGGCGACGUGGUAUGCACCGGCUGGCUGAGGAAAUCGCCUCCCGAGAAGAAGUUGAGGCGCUAUAUUCACUCCUAAUCCCUCAUCUCCCUCCUCAAAAAGAAGUCUCCCUGAAUUAUCACCUCUCUGAUGGAUUUUCGCUGGCCUGGAAGAAACGCUGGUUUAUCCUGCGGAGUGGCCGGAUGAGCGGUGACCCAGAUGUUCUGGAAUACUACAAGAACGAUCACUCCAAGAAGCCUCUGCGGAUCAUCAACCUGAACUUCUGUGAGCAGGUAGAUGCAGGCCUGACCUUUAACAAGAAGGAGCUGCAGGAUAGUUUUGUGUUUGACAUCAAGACCAGCGAACGCACCUUUUACCUGGUGGCUGAGACAGAAGAGGACAUGAAUAAGUGGGUCCAGAGCAUCUGCCAGAUCUGUGGCUUCAAUCAGGCUGAGGAGAGCACAGGAGUGCCAGCUUCUCUCAGGGCACCAGAGCCUCUUUUCUCAUGAGGAGUGACACAGCUGUACAAAAACUUGCCCAGGGCAAUGGACACUGUGUCA
rnacentral:sRNA from 1 species